UACCCAUGAUGAGGACAAAUACUCAACUACUCCCUAAGCCUCUCUCAAGCCUAAUACAAAAUCUCAUUAUCCUUUUGUGCAAAGGUAGAUAUAUGUCUCUUCAAAGCA